rnacentral:tRNA from 1 species
AUAGGGAGACCUACCUGUUGAAUAACUGAAAGCGCUUGCGCAAUUAGGGUAUCAACUGGUCAUCCCAAAGGUCGUUCGGAUUUAGAAGUUAGGCUUUCAAAGCUAUAUAGAGACUGGUUCGGGGCAUAGACUGUGAGGGCUAUUAGCUCAGCUGGUUAGAGCGCACCCCUGAUAAGGGUGAGGUCCCUGGUUCGAGUCCAGGAUGGCCCACCAUUAUUUGAUCAUUAUUAACGUAAUGACCGAAAGGGGGUUUAGCUCAGUUGGUAGAGCGCCUGCUUUGCAAGCAGGAUGUCAACGGUUCGAGUCCGUUAACCUCCACUGGGUAGUAUGCCCUAGCCGAAGUCAAGAGAGUGACACACCAGCAACUUAUCUAGAUAUUCUCAAGGGAUUGAGUUUGGGAAUAAGAUAGAGAGCCUGCUGAGGAAGUCCUCAGUAAGAACCUUGAAAACUGCAUAG